UGGAAUUCAAGCUGUGGAUAAGAAGCUCUCUAGCAGGGACUCUGACCUUGUGGAGGAUCGCUGUUCCCCCCUUUUUUCCUUUUCACUCAAAAAAGUUCAGCUUCUCUCACCCUUCAAACUGCCUGUGAGCCUAAAUUUUUGUGGCCAUGGGACAGACAAGGACCCCCGUCUUUAGCUGAACUAAGGAAAAGUCCCGCAACAUUUUUGGUAUGCAAUGUGGGGGCGCUAGAAACAGCCAUCAAACUGCAACUAGUCAUGCAACCAGAGCCUCUGACGAUGGCCCCUUCUGCUGGGAACCCUUAAAUGGGCUCUGAGGGAGCUCUGACUGAUGCCGCCCCAAAACAGCGCCCCCCUGUCAUCAGGAAGCAGUUAACAUUGGUCUUCAUUCUUACCCUAUCCUUAUUCUAACCGCGGUUAGAUGUACUUCUUUAGACAGGGGGAGUAAGACAGCCAGGUGGGAGGGGGUCUCCGGAAAACUAUCUCGCCUGCACACUUGGGUGGAGCCUCAGGAAGUUGAUGACAUUUGCAGCUGGGUGCAGCCUGGCCCCUCCCCUUCCUGUGUGGAACCUGAAAUUAGACCGGCUGGGCGGAAGCACUCUAGCAGGGACUCUGGCCUUGCAGAGCGUCCUGUUUCCCCGUUUUUUUCCUUUUCACCCAAUAAAACCCUGCUUCACUCAUCCUUCAAACCAUCUGUGAGCCUAAAUGUUUGUGGCUGUGGGACGGACAAAGAUACCGUCUUUAGCUGAAUUAAGGAAAAGUCCUGCAAUGCAAGUAUCAUGGAUUCCAAAACCUCCCCACAGAUGCCUUAACUAAGGAAGUGGACAGCCUUAGGAGACAAGCAUUUGCUGGAAGUGACGUUUCUCUUAAAUUACAUGAGACUAUCUCCUUGAACUUAUAAGCUAUGUGCAGAGUUUGGAUUUUUUUUUCCCCAAAUAUGCUGGCAAGACUUUGGAGAGUUUUGAAAAAGCAAAUGAUGUAAUUUGGUUUAAAUUUUUGAAAGAUCACUCUGCUGCUGCGUAUGACAAGGAAUAUAGAAGAGAACAGAAGAAUGGAUGCAAAUGCAAAUGUUAUUAGGCCAGGCACAGUGGCUCAUGCCUGUAAUCCUAAAAUUUUGGGAGGCCAAGGAUGGAGGAUU